GGAGGCGGCGACGCCCCCCCCGACUUGAGACUGGCGAGCAUGCCAGUCUGCCGUCUCCGCACCCCUUUUCUCGAUGAUGCACACUGGGGCGGGUCCGACGGACCCGCC
rnacentral:sRNA from 1 species